rnacentral:rRNA from 1 species
UUGUCCGGAAUUAUUGGGCGUAAAGCGCGCGUAGGCGGUUUCUUAAGUCUGAUGUGAAAUCUUGCGGCUCAACCGCAAGCGGCCAUUGGAAACUGAGGAACUUGAGUACAGAAGAGGAGAGCGGAAUUCCACGUGUAGCGGUGAAAUGCGUAGAUAUGUGGAGGAACACCAGUGGCGAAGGCGGCUCUCUGGUCUGUAACUGACGCUGAGGUGCGAAAGCGUGGGGAGCGAACAGGAUUAGAUACCCUGGUAGUCCACGCCGUAAACGAUGAGUGCUAGGUGUUAGGGGGUUUCCGCCCCUUAGUGCUGCAGUUAACGCAUUAAGCACUCCGCCUGGGGAGUACGGCCGCAAGGCUGAAACUCAAAAGAAUUGACGGGGGCCCGCACAAGCGGUGGAGCAUGUGGUUUAAUUCGAAGCAACGCGAAGAACCUUACCAGGUCUUGACAUCUUCGGAUGUCCCUAGAGAUAGGGAGUUCCCUUCGGGGACCGAAUGACAGGUGGUGCAUGGUUGUCGUCAGCUCGUGUCGUGAGAUGUUGGGUUAAGUCCCGCAACGAGCGCAACCCUUGAUCUUAGUUGCCAGCAUUUAGUUGGGCACUCUAAGGUGACUGCCGGUGACAAACCGGAGGAAGGUGGGGAUGACGUCAAAUCAUCAUGCCCCUUAUGACCUGGGCUACACACGUGCUACAAUGGAUGGAACAAAGGGCAGCGAAGCCGCGAGGUGUAGCAAAUCCCAUAAAUCCAUUCUCAGUUCGGAUUGCAGGCUGCAACUCGCCUGUAUGAAGCCGGAAUCGCUAGUAAUCGUGGAUCAGCAUGCCACGGUGAAUACGUUCCCGGGCCUUGUACACACCGCCCGUCACACCACGAGAGUUGGCAACACCCGAAGUCGGUGGGGUAACCUUGGAGCCAGC